UACGUAGGUGGCAAGCGUUGUCCGGAUUUACUGGGCGUAAAGAGCGCGCAGGCGGUCGUUCAAGUCGCGUGUGAAAGCCCCCGGCUCAACUGGGGAGGGUCACGCGAUACUGAUCGACUCGAAGGCAGGAGAGGGAAGUGGAAUUCCCGGUGUAGUGGUGAAAUGCGCAGAUAUCGGGAGGAACACCUAUGGCGAAGGCAGCUCGCUGGGACGUUACUGACGCUGAGACGCGAAAGCGUGGGGAGCAAACAGG
rnacentral:rRNA from 1 species